GCCUAACGGCUGAACUGGCAACUUGGAGAAGUGGCAAGUCCUAUUUUGAUCAUAUCUUUGAAUAUGAUCUAUAGGAUUGUAUUAAAAUUGAAUAAAGCUUUGUUUAUAUAUUGAUAAUGACAGUAUAUAUAUCGUGUCUUGACUAAUUGCGUGCCAGCAGUCGCGGUAAUACGUAAGAGACUAGUGUUAUUCAUCUUAAUUAGGUUUAAAGGGUACCUAGACGGUCAAUAUAGCUUCUAAAAUGUUAGUACUUGACUAGAGUUUUAUGUAAGAGGGCAGUACUUGAGGAGGAGAGAUGAAAUUCUAUGAUACCAAAGGGACUCGGUAAAGGCGAAGGCAGCCUUCUAUGUAAAAACUGACGUUAAAGGACGAAGGCACAGAGCACAAACAGGAUUAGAUACCCAAGUAGUCUUUGCAGUAAAUGAUGAAUGCCAUAGGUUAGAUUAAGAUUUAAUAUUAUAAUUAUAAAUUAAAUAUUAAACAUUAUCUAGUCUAUAAAUGAAAGUAUAAGCAUUUCACCUCAA
rnacentral:rRNA from 1 species